rnacentral:rRNA from 1 species
ACCCAGACCGCCAGCUAAGGUCCCAAAGUUGUGGUUAAGUGGUAAACGAUGUGGGAAGGCUUAGACAGCUAGGAGGUUGGCUUAGAAGCAGCCAUCCUUUAAAGAAAGCGUAAUAGCUCACUAGUCGAGUCGGCCUGCGCGGAAGAUGUAACGGGGCUCAAACCACACACCGAAGCUGCGGGUGUCACGUAAGUGACGCGGUAGAGGAGCGUUCUGUAAGCCUGUGAAGGUGAGUUGAGAAGCUUGCUGGAGGUAUCAGAAGUGCGAAUGCUGACAUGAGUAACGACAAUGGGUGUGAAAAACACCCACGCCGAAAGACCAAGGGUUCCUGCGCAACGUUAAUCGACGCAGGGUUAGUCGGUUCCUAAGGCGAGGCUGAAAAGCGUAGUCGAUGGGAAACAGGUUAAUAUUCCUGUACUUCUGGUUACUGCGAUGGAGGGACGGAGAAGGCUAGGCCAGCUUGGCGUUGGUUGUCCAAGUUUAAGGUGGUAGGCUGAAAUCUUAGGUAAAUCCGGGGUUUCAAGGCCGAGAGCUGAUGACGAGUCGUCUUUUAGAUGACGAAGUGGUUGAUGCCAUGCUUCCAAGAAAAGCUUCUAAGCUUCAGGUAACCAGGAACCGUACCCCAAACCGACACAGGUGGUCGGGUAGAGAAUACCAAGGCGCUUGAGAGAACUCGGGUGAAGGAACUAGGCAAAAUGGCACCGUAACUUCGGGAGAAGGUGCGCCGGCUAGGGUGAAGGAUUUACUCCGUAAGCUCUGGCUGGUCGAAGAUACCAGGCCGCUGCGACUGUUUAUUAAAAACACAGCACUCUGCAAACACGAAAGUGGACGUAUAGGGUGUGACGCCUGCCCGGUGCCGGAAGGUUAAUUGAUGGGGUUAGCGCAAGCGAAGCUCUUGAUCGAAGCCCCGGUAAACGGCGGCCGUAACUAUAACGGUCCUAAGGUAGCGAAAUUCCUUGUCGGGUAAGUUCCGACCUGCACGAAUGGCGUAACGAUGGCGGCGCUGUCUCCACCCGAGACUCAGUGAAAUUGAAAUCGCUGUGAAGAUGCAGUGUAUCCGCGGCUAGACGGAAAGACCCCGUGAACCUUUACUGUAGCUUUGCACUGGACUUUGAGCCUGCUUGUGUAGGAUAGGUGGGAGGCUUUGAAGCGUGGACGCCAGUUCGCGUGGAGCCAUCCUUGAAAUACCACCCUGGCAUGCUUGAGGUUCUAACUCUGGUCCGUGAUCCGGAUCGAGGACAGUGUAUGGUGGGCAGUUUGACUGGGGCGGUCUCCCCCUAAAGAGUAACGGAGGAGUACGAAGGUGCGCUCAGACCGGUCGGAAAUCGGUCGCAGAGUAUAAAGGCAAAAGCGCGCUUGACUGCGAGACAGACACGUCGAGCAGGUACGAAAGUAGGUCUUAGUGAUCCGGUGGUUCUGUAUGGAAGGGCCAUCGCUCAACGGAUAAAAGGUACUCCGGGGAUAACAGGCUGAUACCGCCCAAGAGUUCAUAUCGACGGCGGUGUUUGGCACCUCGAUGUCGGCUCAUCACAUCCUGGGGCUGAAGCCGGUCCCAAGGGUAUGGCUGUUCGCCAUUUAAAGUGGUACGCGAGCUGGGUUUAGAACGUCGUGAGACAGUUCGGUCCCUAUCUGCCGUGGACGUUUGAGAUUUGAGAGGGGCUGCUCCUAGUACGAGAGGACCGGAGUGGACGAACCUCUGGUGUUCCGGUUGUCACGCCAGUGGCAUUGCCGGGUAGCUAUGUUCGGAAAAGAUAACCGCUGAAAGCAUCUAAGCGGGAAACUUGCCUCAAGAUGAGAUCUCACUGGGAACUUGAUUCCCCUGAAGGGCCGUCGAAGACUACGACGUUGAUAGGCUGGGUGUGUAAGCGUUGUGAGGCGUUGAGCUAACCAGUACUAAUUGCCCGUGAGGCUUGACCAU